AGACAUGGAUAUCAUCCAGCAUAAAGAUCCUUCAGAGUCUAAGCAUAUAGUGGUGUUAAGGAAAGGAGUUUUCUACAAGGUGAAUGUAUUUAGUCCCAGGAACAGACCGGUGCCACCUCAGAUCUUGGAGAAACAGUUCCAGUCCAUUCUAGAAGAUGCUGAAGUGCAUCAAGACAGCCUGUGUAUG